rnacentral:rRNA from 1 species
GACGAACGCUGGCGGCGUGCUUAACACAUGCAAGUCGAACGGAAAGGCCCUGCUUGCAGGGUACUCGAGUGGCGAACGGGUGAGUAACACGUGGGUGAUCUGCCCUGCACUUCGGGAUAAGCUUGGGAAACUGGGUCUAAUACCGGAUAGGAGCCAUCUUUAGUGUGGUGGUUGGAAAGUUUUUUCGGUGUAGGAUGAGCUCGCGGCCUAUCAGCUUGUUGGUGGGGUAAUGGCCUACCAAGGCGGCGACGGGUAGCCGGCCUGAGAGGGUGUACGGCCACAUUGGGACUGAGAUACGGCCCAGACUCCUACGGGAGGCAGCAGUAGGGAAUAUUGCACAAUGGGCGCAAGCCUGAUGCAGCGACGCCGCGUGGGGGAUGAAGGCCUUCGGGUUGUAAACUCCUUUCGCUAGGGACGAAGCUUUUUUGUGACGGUACCUAGAUAAGAAGCACCGGCUAACUACGUG